AUUGAACGCUGGCGGCAGGCCUAACACAUGCAAGUCGAACGAGUGGCGGACGGGUGAGUAAUGUCUGGGCACCUGCCUGAUGGAGGGGGAUAACUACUGGAAACGGUAGCUAAUACCGCAUACUAUCAGAUGUGCCCAGAUUGGAUUAGCUAGUUGGUGGGGUAACGGCUCACCAAGGCGACGAUCCCUAGCUGGUCUGAGAGGACGACCAGCCACACGGGAACAGAGACACGGUCCAGAAUCCUACGGGAGGCAGCAGUGGGGAAUAGUGGACAAUGGGCGCAAGCCUGAUGCAGCCAUGCCGCGUGUAUGAUGAAGGCCUUCGGGUUGUAAAGUACUUUCAGCGGGGAAGCGUUACCCGCAGAAGAAGCACCGGCUAACUCCGUGCCAGCAGCCGCGGUAAUAC
rnacentral:rRNA from 1 species